GACGAACGCUGGCGGCGCGCCUAACACAUGCAAGUCGAACGGAGCUGAGAGAAGCUUGCUUUUCUUAGCUUAGUGGCGAACGGGUGAGUAACGCGUGAGUAACCUGCCCUGGAGUGAGGGACAACAGUUGGAAACGACUGCUAAUACCGCAUAAGCCCACGAUCCGGCAUCGGAUUGAGGGAAAAGGAUUUAUUCGCUUCAGGAUGGACUCGCGUCCAAUUAGCUAGUUGGUGAGGUAACGGCCCACCAAGGCGACGAUUGGUAGCCGGACUGAGAGGUUGAACGGCCACAUUGGGACUGAGACACGGCCCAGACUCCUACGGGAGGCAGCAGUGGGGGAUAUUGCACAAUGGGGGAAACCCUGAUGCAGCGACGCCGCGUGGAGGAAGAAGGUUUUCGGAUUGUAAACUCCUGUCGUUAGGGACGAUAAUGACGGUACCUAACAAGAAAGCACCGGCUAACUACGUG
rnacentral:rRNA from 1 species